GAUGAAGAACGCAGCGAAAUGCGAUAAGUAAUGUGAAUUGCAGAAUUCAGUGAAUCAUCGAAUCUUUGAACGCACCUUGCGCCCUUUGGCCAUUCCGAAGGGCAUGCCUGUUUGAGUAUCAUGAACACCUCAACUCUUCAUGGUUUUCCGUGAUGAGCUUGGACUUUGGGGGUCUUGCUGGCCUAUGGUCAGCUCCUCUAAAAUAAAUCAGCUUGCCAGUGUUUGGUGGGUAUCACAGGUGUGAUAACUAUCUACGCUUGUGGUUUUCCACCAGGUAACCUUCAGCAGUGGAGGUUCGCUGGAGCUCACAGAUGUGUCUCUCCUCAGUGAGGACAGCUCUUUGAAUAUUUGAUCUCAAAUCAGGUAGGACUACCCGCUGAACUUAAGCAUAUCAAAAGCGGAGGA
rnacentral:misc_RNA from 1 species